rnacentral:tRNA from 1 species
GGGAGUGUUCCCGAGUGGCCAAAGGGGGCAGACUGUAAAUCUGUUGCGUUUCGCUUCGAUGGUUCAAAUCCAUCCACUCCCACCA